rnacentral:rRNA from 1 species
GCACAAGCGGCGGAGCAUGCGGAUUAAUUCGAUGCAACGCGAAGAACCUUACCAAGGCUUGACAUACACCGGUAACGCCUAGAGAUGGGUGCCCCUUUGUGGUCGGUGUACAGGUGGUGCAUGGUUGUCGUCAGCUCGUGUCGUGAGAUGUUGGGUUAAGUCCCGCAACGAGCGCAACCCUCGUCCUAUGUUGCCAGCGGGUCAUGCCGGGGACUCAUGGGAGACUGCCGGGGUCAACUCGGAGGAAGGUGGGGAUGACGUCAAAUCAUCAUGCCCCUUAUGUCUUGGGCUUCACGCAUGCUACAAUGGCCGGUACAAAGGGCUGCGAUACCGCGAGGUGGAGCGAAUCCCAGAAAGCCGGUCUCAGUUCGGAUUGGGGUCUGCAACUCGACCCCAUGAAGUCGGAGUCGCUAGUAACCGCGAAUCAGCAGGUCGCGGUGAAUACGUUCCCGGGCCUU